UACUAGAGUAGCACUCGCAUAUCAAUAAGCGGAGGAAAAGAAACUAACAAGGAUUCCCCUAGUAACGGCGAGUGAAGCGGGAAGAGCUCAAAUUUGAAAUCUUAAAGGGUUUCCCUUUACGAAUUGUAGUUUAAAGAAGUGUUUUCUGUUGAGGUUUUGGUAAAAGUUCUUUGGAAUAGGACAUCAUAGAGGGUGAGAAUCCCGUAUUUGACCUUUACUUUCUACUUUGUGAUACACUUUCAAAGAGUCGGAUUGUUUGGGAAUGCAGUCCAAAAUGGGUGGUAAAUUUCAUCUAAAGCUAAAUAUUGGCGAGAGACCGAUAGCGAACAAGUACCGUGAGGGAAAGAUGAAAAGAACUUUGAAAAGAGAGUUAAACAGUACGUGAAAUUGUCAAAAGGGAAGCGUUUGACACCAGUGUUGUUUUUCUGAAAAUCAAUUAAAGAACUGUUUAUGCUAAGUUGUUUAGACUUUAUCAGCUAUCUGUUUAGUUUUGAGCUUUUCUUUAAUGCACUUUUCAGUUAACAAGUCAACAUCAAUUUCUUUUGCUGUAAAAAAGCUUGAGGAAGGUGGCUUGAGAUUCGUCUUAAGUGUUUAUAGCCUCUUGCCUAUGCAGUCGGAGAGAUUGAGGUCUGCAGCGUAGAUCCUUCGGGGCUAAAUGCAUUUGCGCUAAGUUAUAGCAUUUUAUAGACAACUUGUUGACUAUGAUUUGUCUUGUAGCUUACUCGCUUAUGUUAUUUUACCUACGCUUAGGAUGUUGAGUAGCGACAUACGCAC
rnacentral:rRNA from 1 species